GACGAACGCUGGCGGCGUGCUUAACACAUGCAAGUCGAGCGGUAAGGCCCUUUCGGGGGUACACGAGCGGCGAACGGGUGAGUAACACGUGGGUGACCUGCCCUUAGCUCUGGGAUAAGCCUGGGAAACUGGGUCUAAUACCGGAUAUGACCUCAUGACGCAUGUUGUGGGGUGGAAAGCCUUGUGCGGCUAGGGAUGGGCCCGCGGCCUAUCAGCUUGUUGGUGGGGUGAUGGCCACCAAGGCGACGACGGGUAGCCGGCCUGAGAGGGCGACCGGCCACACUGGGACUGAGACACGGCCCAGACUCCUACGGGAGGCAGCAGUGGGGAAUCUUGCGCAAUGGGCGAAAGCCUGCCGCAGCGACGCCGCGUGAGGGAUGACGGCCU
rnacentral:rRNA from 1 species